rnacentral:lncRNA from 1 species
CUGCCAAAUAGUAUUAUUAUAACCAUUUUUCUAGCAUGACUAAUGCAUUACAUAUAGUAUAUAUUUUUCAGAUGCAGAAGAAUCACAACUAUCCGCAUGAACAAACUCGCUACAACCACGUCCAGUUUGCAACUUUGUACAAAUAAGUCGGACUUCAUCUUGCUGGAGAUCCCUCGAUCUAUGGCGAGUAGGCGGAACCGCUCAAAGCUCGUCCCCGACUUUGCGUCCUCGUCGUUCCUCAAUCUGUUGUGAGACCAAGUCAA